rnacentral:rRNA from 1 species
CCUACGUGUGGCAGCAGUGGGGAAUAUUGCACAAUGGGCGAAACCCUGAUCCAGCGACGCCGCGUGAGUGAAGAAGUCAUUCGUUGUGUUAAGCUCUAUUAGCAGGGAAGCAAAUGACGGUACCUGAGUAAGAAGCCACAGCUAACUACGUGACAGCAGCCGGGGUAAUACGGAGGGGGCAAGCGUUAUUCGGAAUUACUGGGUGUAAAGGGAGCGUUGGUGGGUGUGAAGGUCGGGCGUGAAAGGUGCGGGCUCAACCCCCGGACUGCGCUGGAAACUGUACGGCUGGAGUGCAGGAGAGGUAAGUGGAAUGCCUGGUGUAGCGGUGAAAUGCGUAGAUAUUAGGAGGAACACCAGUGGCGAAGGCAGCUUACUGGACUGUAACUGACGUUGAGGCACGAAAGCGUGGGGAGCAAACAGGAUUAGAUACCCCAGUAGUC